ACGAACGCUGGCGGCAUGCCUAACACGUGCAAGUCGAACGAGACCUUCGGGUCUAGUGGCGCACGGGUGCGUAACGCGUGGGAAUCUGCCCCUGGGUCCGGAAUAACAGUUAGAAAUGACUGCUAAUACCGGAUGAUGUCUUCGGACCAAAGAUUUAUCGCCCAGGGAUGAGCCCGCGUAGGAUUAGGUAGUUGGUGGGGUAAAGGCCUACCAAGCCGACGAUCCUUAGCUGGUCUGAGAGGAUGAUCAGCCACACUGGGACUGAGACACGGCCCAGACUCCUACGGGAGGCAGCAGUGGGGAAUAUUGGACAAUGGGCGAAAGCCUGAUCCAGCAGUGCCGCGUGAGUGAUGAGGGCCUUAGGGUUGUAAAGCUCUUUUACCCGGGAUGAAAAUGACAGUACCGGGAGAAUAAGCUCCGGCUAACUCCGU
rnacentral:rRNA from 1 species